rnacentral:rRNA from 1 species
AGUGAACGCUGGCGGUAGGCCUAACACAUGCAAGUCGAACGGCAGCACAGUAAGAGCUUGCUCUUACGGGUGGCGAGUGGCGGACGGGUGAGGAAUACAUCGGAAUCUACUUUUUCGUGGGGGAUAACGUAGGGAAACUUACGCUAAUACCGCAUACGACCUACGGGUGAAAGCAGGGGAUCUUCGGACCUUGCGCGAUUGAAUGAGCCGAUGUCGGAUUAGCUAGUUGGCGGGGUAAAGGCCCACCAAGGCGACGAUCCGUAGCUGGUCUGAGAGGAUGAUCAGCCACACUGGAACUGAGACACGGUCCAGACUCCUACGGGAGGCGGCAGCGGGGAAUAUUGGACAAUGGGCGCAAGCCUGAUCCAGCCAUACCGCGUGGGUGAAGAAGGCCUUCGGGUUGUAAAGCCCUUUUGUUGGGAAAGAAAAGCAGCAGGUUAAUACCCCGCUGUUCUGACGGUACCCAAAGAAUAAGCACCGGCUAACUUCGUG